UCUCCGUAGGUGAACCUGCGGAGGGAUCAUUACUGAGUGAGGGUUUAACCGCCCGACCUCCAACCCUUUGUGAAUCGUACUCGUUGCUUCGGGGGCGACCCGGCGCUUCGGCGCCAGGGGGUCCCCGCUGGUCUACACAACUCUGCAUCUUUGCGUCUGAGUAAACAUUAAAUGAAACAAAACUUUCAACAACGGAUCUCUUGGUUCUGGCAUCGAUGAAGAACGCAGC
rnacentral:misc_RNA from 1 species